rfam:Tatumella ptyseos ATCC 33301 GTPT.assembly.048, whole genome shotgun sequence.
GAGUGUACUGGUAGCUGUGAGCCAGGGGCGGUAGCGUG